UUGUUGUCGCUCUGGCUGGGGUCUCCGGAGUUGGCCGAUAUGUACACAAUGAUGCCAAUGAUGUUGCUCAAACCUGAAGAGUGACAUGUGGGGAGUCAAGAACAACAACAACAACAAAAAAGCCUAAAGCAGGGGAAAAAUAUCAACAAUAAGACUAGUUUUUAGUCUUUUCCCUUCCCUUGCAACCCCUGAAUAAGCCACUCCUUUUUUGAUAGUGGGCAUAUGAACAUAUGGGAGUCCUGCUCAAAUGAUAGAGAUCCUGCAAAAGAGUUGCAUCGGAGCAUCAGCGUCAGGUCUGACAUGAAAUACGUGUAAAUGAGAUGCAGCAGGUCCUCCACAGGCCAGAGUGGGUGAGCACCUCCUCGUUCUUGCGGACUGUCUCGUUGUCGCCCAGGUUCUUGGAGCGGCACAUCCCGCGCGAGUACAACCAGUAGUCGGUGCCCACGGCGAUGGUCAUGAGGCUGAAGGCGCAGAAGGCCCCGGCCGUAGUCAUCAGCAUCAUCACCCCCCGGUUGCACAGCCUCAUGCCUCCCCGCCCUCCCAAAAAAACUGUUGCCUUUUAUCUCAACUUGGCUUCACUUGCUUGAAUGCCCGGUCAACUUUUCGAUGCAUCUUUCGCAGGUAAACAUUGCACUUCUUUGCAUUGCAAUCUUCGGCGGUCCUUGGAAAUGUCACCUCCAGAUCCCCAAAAAAACAUACACCCGAUGGAAUUCUUUCAGCAGAUGAGACGGAAAGUAAGUACGGCAACCUCUCGCUAUGCGCACAUGCUCUGCUGUGAUGGCGAUGCUGCUCAAUAAUCAUUGUAGCAUGCACCCCCUGCCCUAUUUGUGUGUGUGUGUGUGUGUGUGUGUGUGUGUGUG